rnacentral:rRNA from 1 species
UUUAUCAAAAACAUGUUUUAUUGAGUAUAAAUAAUAGGUUUGUUCUGCCCAUUGAAAAUAAUUUAAAAGGCUGCAGUAAGUUAACUGUACAAAGGUCGCAUAAUCAAUAGUUUUUUAAUUGAAAACUUGAAUGAAAGAAUUAAUAAAAUAUAUAUUGUCUUAAAUUUAAAAAAUUGAAAUUAAAAUAAAAGUUAAAAUUCUUUUAUGGAUUUAUUAGACGAUAAGACCCUAAGAAUUUUAUAAUAAAUUUAUUUUAUUAAAAAUAUUAAUUUUUAAUUUUUUAUAAUAUUAUUUUAUUGGGAGGGUAAUUAAAAAAUUUAAACUUUAGUUUUUAUUAAACUUUGAUAAAAGAUUGUAUUUUAUGAUUAUUAUUAUAAUUGUAAGAAUAAAUUACCUUAGGGAUAACAGCGUAAUAAUUUUGGAAAGAUCAUAUUUAUAAAAUUGUUUGCGACCUCGAUGUUGAAUUAAAAUAAAAAUUAAAUGGAGAUAUUUAAAAUUUUAGUCUGUUCGACUAU